GGCGUGUAGUAACAAUUAAAUUGUAGGUUAAAUGUUGGACUAGAGAAAUAUUGAUGAUAGUUUGAUUGGCAAAUUGUUAUAUGUCAGCUUCUGCAAUCCAUGGUACAACUACAAACCUGUGGGUAUUGUUGCUAAAAUAUGUAAUAUAGCACAAAUGAAGUUUGUAUGAAUGUAUGGCAUACAAGUAGCAUACCUACAUAAUUUGAAUUGUUUUCGUGACUUCGUGGGUCAAUAGUAGGCUGCGGUUUUAGGAUCUGGCAGUAGCCAGAUCUGUUUGUGCUUAUGCCCGAAGGUAAAAUCUGGCGAUUUGGGUG
rnacentral:lncRNA from 1 species